AGGGGGAUAGCUGGACCACAUGGUGGUUCUUUUCCAAGAUUUCCAAGGAAUCUCCAUACUGCUUUCCAGAUUGGUUACACCAAUUUGCAGUCCCACCAGCAAU
rnacentral:pre_miRNA from 1 species